UACGUAGGUGACAAGCGUUGUCCGGAUUUACUGGGCGUAAAGAGCGCGCAGGCGGUCGUUCAAGUCGAGUGUGAAAGCCCCCGGCUCAACUGGGGAGGGUCAUUCGAUACUGAUCGACUCGAAGGCAGGAGAGGGAAGUGGAAUUCCCGGUGUAGUGGUGAAAUGCGUAGAUAUUAGGAAGAACACCGGUGGCGAAGGCGGCCCACUGGUCCGGUACUGACGCUGAGGUGCGAAAGCGUGGGGAGCAAACAGG
rnacentral:rRNA from 1 species